rnacentral:snRNA from 1 species
AUACUUACCUGGACGGGGUCAAUGGGCGAUCGAUAAGACCCAUGGCCUAGGCUUGUGACCUCCAUUGCACUUGGGAGGGGUGCCGGCCUAAGGUCGGCCCAAGUGGCCGAGCCUACGUCAUAAUUUGUGGUAGAGGGGGCCUAUGUUCGCGCGGCCCCUA